rfam:Erythrobacter litoralis strain DSM 8509 contig4, whole genome shotgun sequence.
GCGGGCGUAGCUCAGGGGUAGAGCACAACCUUGCCAAGGUUGGGGUCGAGAGUUCGAAUCUCUUCGCCCGCU